rnacentral:lncRNA from 1 species
UUUACUACUUUAAAUUUAUUUAUUUUAAUCAUAGAGCAUGAAGAUAAAAUACAGAAAAAAACUUCUUGUAAGAAGAGGCCUUUUUACAACAGUCUAUUAAAAAGACUUAAUGAUUCCCAACAGUAAUGAAAGUUGUCAUGUAAAAACAAAGAAACACAGAAAGGAAACAGAAACUCAAAUGAUCAAUAAACAGCUUAACUUGCAUGUACGUAAAUUUCACUAAAUCAAAUAUAACUCAUGAAGAGAUCUACUGACAUUGGCCAAAAAAACCCCAUAUUUUAAGCAAAAUAAGAACUUUAGGUUUACAAAAGAUACUGCUGAUACUUUUAUUCUAUGUAUUCCUUAUCACAUUGCUUAUAGAAACCGUAUAUUAAUUUAUGUUCAUAACAACUUAUGAUGACCUCAGGAAAGAAGCAGCAAAAUAAAGAGUUUCUGACUCAUUUCUUUCAGCCCAGUCUUCAAAAAAAUUGCUUGAAGGUAAUUUGGCUAUUUGUUCCACAAGAAAUUUAUAACGUGAGAGCAAACAUCACUAAAUAAGGAUCUAACAGGAGUGGCAUUUAUCCUUCUAUGCAAAUUAAAAAUAAAUGCCCAGAUGGUUAUGAAUUUUACAGAUAGGCUGUAUUGGUUCCAUUUUUAUCCCUUUUACUGAUGUUUCUCCUCUAAGAAGAGCUCACAGGGCAAGUGUUAGCAAAAGAGACAUCUAAGCAAACUUCACCUGGGAGAACUCCCUUUCCUAAAUAAACCCAUAAACCUAAAAGGCAUCAACUGGGGUAGGCUGAAUAAUGGCCUCUCAAAAAUGUCCGCAUUCUCAUCCAUGGAACCUGAGAACAUGUUACCCGAUAUGGCAGAAGGAAUUCUGCAGGUCAAUUAGAUUAUGGAUCUUCAAAUGGGGAUAUUAUCUUGGAUUUUCUGGAUAGGAAUGGUGUAAUCACAAGCUUUUAUAAGAAGGAGGCAGGGGGGUUAAGAGUCAGAAAAGAAGAUGUGAAGAUGGAAGGAGAGGCAGAAGAGCUGGAGGCCCAUCAGCCAAAGGAUGCAGGCAGAUUCUAGAAGCUGGAAGACGCAAGGAACAGGUUCUCUUUCAGGGCCCCCAAAAGUAAGCUCACUGACCCAUUUUGGACUCUGACCUUAGAACUAUAAGAUAAUAAAUGUGGUUUGCUUUAAGCCAUUAAGUUUGUGGUAGUAGGUCACAGCAGUAAUAAAAAACUGAUACAACUAUGUCGCCAACUAAACCAAGGGUGGAUAAUUUGGAUCUUGACUCUUCAGACCUAUGUUUAUGUUUAGUCUAUACCUAA